UAGGCAACUUUGCAAACACGGUGCAGACACUCAUGGCAAAGUCAAGAUUCAAAGCUAAAUUGAGACGUACAAAGAGCAAGCAAGAUUUGGACCAUUCUCUGUCUCCACCCUCUAGGAGAUGGAGACUGCUAUUGUGAAACGCUCAGCUCCCUCUUCCAAUGUCAUGCUUGAGUUCUACCAGCAACGCUAUUCAUGUUUGUAAAGUGUUUUUUAUUUGUUUACAAAUGAAGUGGCGCCUAUAAGAACUACAGGCAAUACUGCAGUUUACCUAACCAUGUAGAAUGAUGUGAAUGUAUCAAGUUCUUGUUUCAAUAAAUAAGUGCAAUUAUGAACCUUUGUAACCAUGUAGAAUGAGGUGAAUGUAUCAAUUUCUUGUUUCAAUAAAUAAGUGCAAUUAUGAACCUUUUCUGUCAUCUCUUAGCUUGAGAUCCUGCCUGAGUUACACAAGGAAUUUUGCUGGUGCUGAGAAGUGGAGGCAUAGGGCUGACGUCAUCAUCAUCGGAAAAGGGAACUUUUGCUGUCGGUUAUUAGAUGUCUGAUUGAGGUUGUUUGCGAGUUGUGACAAGCAAAUAAUGUGUUUGAACAUUUUGUGACCAUUUUACAUUCCCUACGGUAAUGAGGUCAGUUAUUGUCUUGAAUGGGAAGGGAGCUGAAUUGGCAAAGCAUUGUGUACCUGUAGAUCCUACGAAGAGAAAGAUGAAAGAAAGCUUGUAUCAAAUAGGGUUCAGCCAUGAACCAGACCUCCAGAAUAUCCUGCCACUAAUAUACAAUUAACCCAGAAGGAACCUACAUCAUGCGAGUAGUAACAAAAAGCCUAGCUCACAAAGGAGAAGCUUCAACAGAGGUAGGAAAUGCAUAUGAAAGCCAACUGCUGGGAGCCAAUGUCAGUCAUAUGACCAUGAAACUACACCUAAUGUGAGACGAAGACAAGUUAUAGAUGACCAAUCUGCAUCAACCAGUGAUAAUUCAUCAGUGUGAAGAAUGUAUGAAUCGAAUCCUAGAUUUUCCUCAGAGAAACCAAAUGAGAGUGGACAGAGAUUGAGUUUAGUAUAUUAUUUAAGUCUUCAAAUGUUUGGUACACGAAUCUCUACUAUUUGUGGUGUAUUUGUCUAAACUAUCCCUAAAUUUAAUUUUAUUGUACAAACGUUGUGAAUUUUUAAAUUUUGUUCA